ACUCAAAUGAAUUGACGGGGGCCCGCACAAGCGGUGGAGCAUGUGGUUCAAUUCGACGCAACGCGAAGAACCUUACCCAGACUUGACAUGUACUGGACUGGUGUGGAAACACAUCUUCCCUUCGGGGCCAGUGCACAGGUGCUGCAUGGCUGUCGUCAGCUCGUGUCGUGAGAUGUUGGGUUAAGUCCCGCAACGAGCGCAACCCUUGUCCUUAGUUGCUAACGAGUCAAGUCGAGCACUCUAAGGAGACUGCCGGUGGCAAACCGGAGGAAGGUGGGGAUGACGUCAAGUCCUCAUGGCCCUUACGUCUGGGGCUACACACGUGCUACAAUGGCCGGUACAAAGGGCUGCGAUACCGCGAGGUGGAGCCAAUCCCAAAAAACCGGUCUCAGUUCGGAUUGCAGUCUGCAACUCGACUGCAUGAAGUCGGAAUCGCUAGUAAUCGCUGAUCAGCAGGCAGCGGUGAAUACGUUCCCGGGCCUUGUACACACCGCCCGU
rnacentral:rRNA from 1 species